GGCAAAUGCACCCUGUUUCUUUCAUAGAGAAUGUAUCUAGUGACUGGUAUUUUACAGAAAAUGUGAGAGAAAGGGGAUAUCCACAAUUGCUGUAUCACGAAGAGUGAAAGCCGGACCUUGAGAGAUACAUAUAGAAAAAAGCCUGAAAGCAUAAUGGCACAUAUAUUAUACAUGCCAGUUUCUAAUUAAUGGCUGAGAAGAGAGGAAAUGACAAGGGUCGGGGCUCAGGGAGCGUUAGCGUUCUGAUUCUUAAUGGAUAAGAGAAAAUUCAGGUGGCACAAUAUUUGCCUGUGUUAGAUUUGGGUGAUGACAUGGCUGUCUAUUGUACUAGCUAAUGCAUAAUUCAUUAUGCCAGAAUAUUUCAUAAAUAAAAAUAUUAAAACCUUGAUAUUGAAUAAUGGAAGCUUUAAAGAUAAUUACCUACAAUUAUUGUUAAACAACGCUUUCUACACUUACCACAACAUUUGGCUGACAGGUGCUAAAUAAAAAUUUGUUGUACGAGUAAAGAAAUAAGGCAUUCAUGGAACAUGAAUGCUGUGGCAUUCGGGGAGGGGAGCUGGUCCAAGGCAGUUCAGUGAGCUGGAAAGCAGUGGUUUGUAUCAUGUAGACCUGUCUAGGAACACAGGACGUGACCCCUUGUGUGACUUCAGGGAAAUUCUUUAAGCUAUUUCUGCUAUCAAAUAUUUCCCACCAAAUAUGAGUGUCUUCCUCAAUAUGUUAAGAAGAUUUGCCAGUCCCUUAAACAAACAAAAAACUGUUCUUUUACAACAGCUCUGCCAAAAAUGUUGUAUUUGUUGAGAUAUUAUCAUCCUUUAUAUGCAGGAACUGGGCUAUGAAAAGUUCCAAGGCACGAAUGAACUCUGUCCCUAAUUCUUCGAAUGUGCUUGGAAGAUGAGUUGUUGCCCGGCACUUCUUACCUGCAGCAUCCAAGUGGCUGAGGAGGACACAAUCUCCUGGAGAAGAGAUGCUGGAUUUUACAGUCACACAUUUAUUUUAAUGAUAUUAAUACGGGCAUUUUGUUCAGGUGGAACCAAAUGAGAAUGUUAUUAUCUGUUCUUCUGGAGACAGCCAACUAGCUUCAACGAGCUAAAGUAGCUUCCAUCACAAAGCGAGACUCAGCAAGGACAGCCAUGCAAUUAUUUCAGAAUUUAAAUUACCUGGUCAAAAUCCUAAGGACACAAUGAUCAUCAGUGUGAGCUUCUUUACCAGAGAAAAUUACAAAUAAAGAGAACUCCCAAGAUCUGCAGUGUGGGCCAAGAGGAGAACCAGAGCUCCCGAGAUCCAGCCAUGGUUUACCCGCCCUCCUGGUAAGAGCCUGCAGUGUGGGCCAGGAGGAGAACCAUUACCUGUGAGCCUACUGCCACGGGGGCUGAAAAUCAAGCACACCCCCCCCCCACCAUAGCUUCUGGGGAUAGAUGUCCAGCAUCUCUUGGGAGGAUGACCGUAUGCAGUAUAGCAAAUAUGGGGAUUUCCUUCCAUCUUCUAUUUGAAGGCAAAGGUUGUUUUCACUGUUUGGUUGUGUUUCUUUUGCUCUAUUCAGUGUUCUCAAUUGGUUUUAUAAUGUUCUAUUUUUGGUUUGAUUUUGCUAUACCUAAUUGACUGGACAACUAUUGUGAAGAUAAUGAAAUAUACUAUAGUACCCAUUACUACUAUCCCAGUAUCCCACUGUGAAACCCUGUACCAAUUUCUCUGCAUUGUCUCCAUUGGCUUUGUUCUGUCUUGUGCUGUUGUGUUUUUACUACUUUCAAAAUAAAAUUUAAAAAAAAAAUUAAAAAAAGGAAAAUUACAAAUAAAAUCACUGUUCAGUGAGAUUCAUGAGAGGUUUUCCUCAUGAGCUCCUGUACUGGACCCAACAGACAAAACCCAAAUGGAUUCGCUCAUGGCAUCUAAUCAAAGUGCCCUUUGAACAGAUUAGUUUUCUAGAAAAAUACAGGAUUCACAUUAACCACUUUGCCUGAGCUGGCAUGACAAAAAGCAAAACAACAAAACCACAAAACAACAACAACAACCGCCUCUUCGCUUUAACCUUAUGGGAAAAUAACUGAAAUGACCAGCCUGCGUUUGUAUCCUGCUUCUGCUUGUUCAGUCUUUCCCUGUCUGUAGGGCUCACCCCUCCGCUGUCAGCUACUGUACACUUUCUGGAGUUUUAGGUAGGGUAUUGCCUGUUUGUGGAUCCAUAAUAAAAGCCAACAGGGUCCUAAAACUUGGUUCAAAUUUUGUUUUGUAACAUCAGUCUGAGUGUUGCACAUUAUCAUUUCCCAAGGUGGUGUAAGUGUACAGCGCUGUACAGUUCACUACCAGACCGACUACAAUGGACUGAGUCUUCAUCCUUUCUAGUUUCCCUUACAACCUCCUAGGCGACAAAGUUGUUUAAGCAGGGUUAUUCUUUAUCUACACGGGUAACUCAGUAAUUGAGGACGCAGUGUUGACUUAAGCCGUAUAGUAUUAGUAGAGCAUGAAACGUACAGUAUUAGUAUGGCAAUUAAUAGCCAAUUAAUGAUGUUCGAGUGCCACUUUUUUUCCUUACUACUGACUCCUGGCCUCAGAGCCAGGAAUAUGAGUGUCUGAAAUAGAAAAUACCACGUUUGUGGCACUUAACUUUUACUAACAAUAUAUCCUUCCAAAUAGAGAACGAAUUGGAGGCAAGAUUUCUGUGAAGCUCCUGGUUUUAGCGAUUGUUUUUGUAGAUGCAGAAGCCAGGACGAUUGCUUGUUCGUCCCCUUUACGCAGGACUUUGCUGUUUUAUUUUAAUUACUAUCAAACAAGGUGCUUUAUUGAAGAACUGUGUCAUGCGAUUGGAAAGUCUCAGGCAUCUCGAAAUUUCCCAGGUGCACCUUUGGUGAGUUUACUGAAUUUGGGUCCAUGCUUGCCUUUGUUUUUUAAUGACAGAAGUUGUUUGUGGUAAACACUUUUCCAGCAUGACAUAGUAAAUAAUGUUAUUCAAGCAGUGUAUGUCUUUAUUGCUUUUCCUCCUCUACACCUUGAAACUUCAGGAUCACGUUUUGUAGUCCUAAAAAGAAUCUGAUUUAAAGUUAUUUGACAAUCACAGCUCUCCUGUAUCUCUGGAAUGAUUAUCUGUAUUUGGUGGUAAAUCUCGCUUCCAUUUUAUUAAAGUUAAACCUAUUUUAGAUAA